CUCCUUUUCCCCUUCCCAGUUGCUCCCUUCCCCGUCCCUUCCUCCCUUCCCUGUCAUUCCCAUCCCCCUACUCCCUUUCCCCCAUUCCCUUUAGCAGAUAUUUCGUCUUCCUUUCCUGUCAAUUGUCAUCUUAUUCCUUGUUCCUUUUAUCCAUAUAUACUAGAUAGCAACAAAGGGAAAAAAAUAAAAAGAUUAGCAAAAAAUAAACCAUCUGCAUCAUCGGCAACGAGUGAAGACGCCGGGGAUCUAAUCGGCUACAAGUGAAGUACGAGCAGAUUUACAAAUAUACUUUCAUUUUCACUCUUCUCCCUCUUGUUAUUUUUCAUCUCUAUUUUCUUUUCUUUUUUUCUUUUGCAAGCAGAUGUUGGUGUGAUAUGAAGGAUGGUUGUUGGUGUUGGUCAGGAGCAAUUGCAACAUGCGUUUGGACUUGUUGGUGACGAUAAUCUUGUUGAUUUAGGUGUUAGGGUUUUACUGCAAUUUGGGGCCCUUUUAAAUUUGAUUUAUUUGAGUGGUUGAUUUUGCUCUAUUUCAUUUCUCUGCUUUGUUAAAAUUAUUGUUAUUGUGUUCUGGUUUAUCUUAUUGUGGGUGAUGGUAGUGAUGAAAUUUUCUGGUGGGUGAUGAUGGCGUGAUUUUGAGGGUGGCCGGUGGUGGAUGGAUCUGAAUUUUGUUGGUGGAUUAUGAUGAUGUAUGUUGACUGAUCUGAAUUAAUUAGAUAAAAAAAACUUAUUUCACUAAAUGUUGAUAUUAUAAUUACUUUAAAAAACAAG
rnacentral:lncRNA from 1 species